AGUGAACGCUGGCGGUAGGCCUAACACAUGCAAGUCGAACGGCAGCACAGAGGAGCUUGCUCCUUGGGUGGCGAGUGGCGGACGGGUGAGGAAUACAUCGGAAUCUACUCUGUCGUGGGGGAUAACGUAGGAAAACUUACGAUAAUACCGAAUACGACCUACGGGUGAAAGCAGCGGAGCUGCGGACCUUGCGCGAAUUAAUGAGGCGAUGUCGGAUUAGCUAGUUGGCGGGGUAAAGGCCCGCCAAGGCGACGAUCCGUAGCUGGUCUGAGAGGAUGAUCAGCCACACUGGAACUGAGACACGGUCCAGACUCCUACGGGAGGCAGCAGUGGGGAAUAUUGGACAAUGGGCGCAAGCCUGAUCCAGCCAUACCGCGUGGGUGAAGAAGGCCUUCGGGUUGUAAAGCCCUUUUGUUGGGAAAGAAAUCCAUCUGGUUAAUACCCGGGUGGGAUGACGGUACCCAAAGAAUAAGCACCGGCUAACUUCGUGCCAGCAGCCGCCGUAA
rnacentral:rRNA from 1 species